rnacentral:rRNA from 1 species
GACGAACGCUGGCGGCGUGCUUAACACAUGCAAGUCGAACGAUGAAGCCGGAGCUUGCUCUGGUGAAUUAGUGGCGAACGGGUGAGUAACACGUGAGUAACCUGCCCUUGACUCUGGGAUAACUGCUAGAAAUGGUAGCUAAUACCGGAUACGACCCUCGGAGGCAUCUCAGGGGGUGGAAAGAAUUUCGGUCAAGGAUGGACUCGCGGCCUAUCAGCUAGUUGGUGAGGUAAUGGCUCACCAAGGCGACGACGGGUAACCGGCCUGAGAGGGUGACCGGCCACACUGGGACUGAGACACGGCCCAGACUCCUACGGGAGGCAGCAGUGGGGAAUAUUGCACAAUGGGCGCAAGCCUGAUGCAGCAACGCCGCGUGAGGGAUGACGGCCUUCGGGUUGUAAACCUCUUUUAGUAGGGAAGAAGCGAAAGUGACGGUACCUGCAGAAAAAGCACCGGCUAACUACGUGCCAGCCGCCGCCGUAA